UCUCUCUCUCUCUCUGUCAGUCAUUGUCCUCAGUCGUCUCUCACCCCUCCUCCCCGAUGCAGAAAUCCAUAGCGUUGUAAAUGAAGCUGUGAGGAUCGAUGCUGCAGGCAGGCAGUGCUCUAGAUUAAAGAAAACCCUCAACUCUGCAGUAAACAGGACACAAAGUUUCAUGCAGAAACACACAUGGACAAGCUUGGGCAACCCUUAAUAAAUAAAUGAAUGAAAUAAAUGAAG